rnacentral:SRP_RNA from 12 species
UCAGUAGCUCGCGAUCAGUCAGCGCCGGUCGUAUGACGCACAUCGAGCCGUCGGAGAGGAUGGUGCGGUUGACGAUGCCACCAUGGGAAGGGGAACUGCCGAAAGCUGGUAACAGGGC